rnacentral:lncRNA from 1 species
UUUCAAAACCAAGAAAAAUAAAAGGGAAAACAACGGUAGUGAGGAGAGGGGAAAAAAAGAGUCCCAACGUCGACCACUAGGGUUUUGACGUCUCCCCACAUAAUCACCCGGUCUCUCUAGAUUCAACUCUCUCCAACCGCUGGAGCUUCUGCUGCCCUUUCUCUUCCCUCAUCCAUGGCGAUUCCCGGUCCUUACUCCGGCGUCAGCACCAUCGCCUUCGUCAGUCUAUCUCUCUCUCCUCCCUCCCAUUCUUUGUUCGGGUUUCCUUUCUGAAUCCAUCUCUUUAUGAACUUUGAUAGGUAGCUCGCGCAUCGGCGUUCACCUUCGGCGUCGUCUACGGGAGCAUGAAGCUGUCCUAUCUCCAGGUAUCAGAUUGGACCCUUUCCUUUCAUCCUGUAUCCAUUUGCCAAUCAUUAUCCAUUUUUUUAUAGCAUGAGAUUGGGAGUGAAAUAUACUGUUAUCCGCUGGAUCUCGGAUUGGAAUGAUGUGAUUCACUUGUUUGGAUUCAUAUUUUUGUAUUAUAUUAAAUCCAAGCCAGCAUCUUCGAUCUAAUGCUUUUAAGAUUCUGUUAUGUCAUUUAUUGGUAUACUUAUAAUUAUGGUUGCUCCUCUUGCUGUUAUAUGCUUCAUGAUUUCUCAGCCAAGAUUGUGUUGUCAUUGCAUUUUUUGGGAAAUUCAGUAAGUUGUUUGAAACGUAUGUCAUAUGGGAACGGCUUGAUGUUUAUAAUUUCCCAUUUGAAGGCGUACUCGUUGAGUGAUGGUAUAUUGAUGACCAUGAAUUACUCACGAAUUCUAUGUAGGAUAAAUCAGAUAGCAACUACAAAACAGAUUUCAUUACUUAAAAUAGUUCAUUUAUUGUUUUUAUUUUAAUUUUAAUUUUUUUAUGUUUUGGCCGGGGGGGGGUGGUGUGUGGGGUGGGGAGGGAUGCUGGAAGCAAUGAUGAAUUAGCAUUUCACACACAAAAUCAGUUAAACCUAGUAAUAGUACAUUAUUUUGAGGAACUCUCUCCAUCUUGCUUAUAGAAUCAUAGGACUGUUGCUUGCAUCCUUUUUUUAAAAAAAAAAAAUCCCGCAUUUUUGGACUCAUUGAUAUGCAUGGUCAUGGGAAGCAUGAGGGAAAAAUAUACUUUGACCCUCUCAAGUUUCAGCGAGAAACAUUUAGCCAUCAGAACUUUUUAAAAGUGUCAAUUAGCCAUUUUAUGUAUCAAUGUUGUACAGUCCAUUAUUUGCCCCACAAUGCUGUAACCAAGCAGUUUAGAAGACUAAACUACCCUUCUAUCCAAUGGCUAUUUACAAAAACCUUUAAUCUCUCUUUGAUCCCCAUCGCACUCGAUGCACUCUUCUCAUCUCCCAUCACUCUUUUGUCCUCCCUCAAUGCCCAGUCCUCCUCCUCUAUCCACUUUCAUCUGCUCCUAAUUGUCCUUAUUGGGCAUGGCAUUCUUGUUGCAACACACCCUCUCGUUCCAGAAGGCGUGGUCCAUCUUGGAGAUGGCGUCAUGGGUGAUGAUGGCCAUUGGUUUGGGAUGAUAGGAAGGAGAGGGGGUUGGGGAGUGUCAAUGGCAUGACCAAAUCGGCAAUGGGUCUGCCCAACUUCAUAGGCUUAAAACUAAGAUUGAUCUCACCAUUUCUACAACACCCAUUUCUACAUAACCGUUCUUUUCUUGCAAUAUCCAUUGAAUUCUCUCUCAUGUAUAAAGGGGAACCUUCUAUUCCUAGGGCAAUGACAUGGAGAGAGACCAAUUGAACUUAAGAAUGUGGAGGGAGAACCCAAAUAUCAAGGAAGAGAGAGAGAGAGAGAGAGGCAACUCAACUGUCUCUCAAUGGGGCUCUCCUCCACACGACCCUCUUGCUCAUCCCCAUCCUGUUUAAGGCCAGUAUCAUUGCGUUGGCAUUGUUCAGCUUGCUUGGAAACCCAUUCCAACAGCCAAAACAAAAUCUCCUAACCUUUUCUGCCCACCGACUAUUGAUAAUCUCUAAUUGAUCCUGAGUGAGGUCCUAAAUCUCUUGAAGAGGCCUGAUGUAGUACCCUGGCCAAUGGAAGCUCGUCAAGGAGAAUGCAAUUUGGUAUUGGUGAUGACAUUCUCAUUGUGAAGAAGGGCAUCAUGUUCAAUUCCACCAUGUUAUCCAAGAACUCAUAAAUUUGUGGAUACCUAAUGGCAUCUGACAAGGUUGUGACUGCCCUACUCUUUCCCAUCUUGAAUGGCUUGAUUUGUUAGACUUUUUAACCUAUCUCAGUACUAAUGAUUUUAUUGGAACUUGUAAUUGGUAGGAACCAUGUUUUAUCUUUCUUCUUCUUCUUUUUUUUUGUUGGUAAUAGUGAAUUUAAAUUUGUUUGCUAACCUUCAAUGUUUAUAUAUUCAUGGGUUGGACAAUGAGACCAUGGAAGAAUACUCCAGUAGCAUUUGACAUGUGCAUUUUUUUAGUAAAAUUUUUAUCUGAAAGAAGUCAGUAAUGUAGAUGUAGACUUUAUAUGUAUAAUAUCAAGUUCUUUACUAACCAAUUAUUUCAUGAGACUAGAUUGCACAUGACUUAUUGCCAAUAUUCAUAAUUCCAUAUAGGUUAUCACAAGAAAGAAACUCAAUUUACUGCUUAACAACAGUAACUCUGUUUCCAUUUUUUUUUAUUUUGAAUAUUUAUGUUUAUAGCACUUUGAUGCUCUUCGUGAUGAUUUUGGAUUUUAUUUUUUAGUUAAACUAGUCUGACAGGUUGAGUUUGUAUUCAGAAUAUGGUAGUCAUUUCUCAUAGACACCAUUUCAAAAAUGAUAUUCAUAAUUCCAUAUAGGUUAUCACUAGAAAGAAAACUCAAUUUACUGCUUAACAACAGUAACUCUGUUUCCAUUUUUUAAAUUUGACUAUUUAUGUUUAUAGCACUUUGAUGCUCUUCGUGGUGAUUUUGGAUUUAUUUUUUAGUUAAACUAGUCUAACAGGUUCAGUUUGUAUUCAUAAUAUGGUAGUCAUUUCUCAUAGAUGCUGUUUCAAGAAGGUUCCCUUUUUUUUUUUGUUGAGUUACCAUGGAUCUGCAACUUCGAUUUCUUCUUUCCCUCCUUUGAAAGUGUUACAGCAUGAAUCGUUGACCGGUAUGGCAUGCCAUGCAAUCUACCACAGGUCAGGGAACAUUGAAGGCCAUUCACUUUGGUAGUGUGGUGGGUUGGAGACACUGCACUACUUUGUCAAAUCUUGACCUUACUAUUGGUGUUUGGUGAUCUUAUAAUUGGUGUAUGGCUGCUUGAUAUUAGGAAGGCUUGAAUGUUUCACAAAACUUUGUCACCUUGUAACCAUUUUACUUCACAAAGGCAUAUUAAAAUAGUCAUUCUUUCAUUUUUUUUUUUUCAUAGCUCUAAUUGUUAGUAUUCCACCCUAAGGUAAUUAGCCUUGGGGUGUAACAUUAGACCUGUUUACCUUCAUGGCAUUCUUUGUGAAAGUAUGGCAUUUUCACUGAGGUAACCUGUUCAUAUUAGACUGUUAAAAUAUUUAUAUUAUAAGUACAUGAUCUCACUUGUAUAAACACCUGUUUUUAGCAAUAACUUGUUUCUUUCUUUUUCCAGGCAAAGGCAAAAUCUCAUAAAAAAGCUGAGGCAAAAGGACACCAUUGAAUGGGAAAUGCAUAUCUUUGUUUCUUGAUUUACAAGAGCAUGAUUUGAGUGUUUAUUUUGAUUUGUUGCAGCAUCAUGCUUAAGGUUCCUCCUAUCUUUCCCAAGAAAACUGCAAGGAGGAUGGUUGACAUUUAUCUUAUUCUGAUAAAAGAGGACUUCAUCCCCUCAUAUUUUGGAUUUUUUUUUAAAAAAAAGUAAAGAUGACAAUUUUAAGUAUCUCCAUUGUGAAAACAAUAUUUGUAGUUCCUUUGUUCCUACUUCCAGUGCACAUUCUCCCCUUAUUUUGACAUAUUUUCAUGAGCUUUACAUAUUUAUGAUUCUGGAAAUUUCAUAAGCUCUGGGAGAAAUGGGCCCCAGUAAGACUUGGUGGGCUAAAUCUGGAUUAACUUAUGGCGCUACAGCCAGUGGCUUUUGCUAGAGGCUGGUUCAAAUGGCAUAUCGGUUCCAUCAAGUUCUUUCCAUAAUUGAAACUCAAAGCAGGCUUGAAUGAUGGCGCUGCAUCGAAGUUUUUUGGUUCUUGAAUGCCCAAAAUUUCAUCAAUAAAAUCCUGACAGAGGUCACACACAGCAAAACUUCACUUUAGUGAAUAACUAUGCCAAGAUACAUCAGGUUGACCUGCUGAGUGGUCAUGAAUUCUAGUGUUGCAUUGACUUCUUUUGUUGGGAUGAAUUAAAUUAGUAUUUUUUAAUGCAG